CCCUGGGAGGCAGCAGUGGGGAAUUUUGGACAAUGGGGGCAACCCUGAUCCAGCCAUUCCGCGUGAGUGAAGAAGGCCUUCGGGUUGUAAAGCUCUUUCAGCAGGAGCGAAACGGUCGUUUUUAAUACAGACGGCUAAUGACGGUACCUGCAGAAGAAGCACCGGCUAACUACGUGCCAGCAGCCGCGGUAAUACGUAGGGUACGAGUGUUAAUCGGAAUUACUGGGCGUAAAGCGUGCGCAGGCGGCGACAUAAGACAGAUGUGAAAUCCCCGGGCUCAACCUGGGAACUGCGUUUGUGACUGUGUUGCUAGAGUGUAGCAGAGGGGGGUGGAAUUCCACGUGUAGCAGUGAAAUGCGUAGAUAUGUGGAGGAACACCGAUGGCGAAGGCAGCCCCCUGGGUUAACACUGACGCUCAUGCACGAAAGCGUGGGGAGCAAACAGGAUUAGAUACCCUGGUAA
rnacentral:rRNA from 1 species